rnacentral:rRNA from 1 species
AAAUUGAAGAGUUUGAUAAUGGCUCAGAUUGAACGCUGGCGGCAGGCCUAACACAUGCAAGUCGAACGGUAACAGGAAGCAGCUUGCUGCUUUGCUGACGAGUGGCGGACGGGUGAGUAAUGUCUGGGAAACUGCCUGAUGGAGGGGGAUAACUACUGGAAACGGUAGCUAAUACCGCAUAACGUCGCAAGACCAAAGAGGGG